GAUGAACGCUGGCGGCGUGCCUAAUACAUGCAAGUCGAGCGAACAGAUGAGGAGCUUGCUCCUCUGACGUUAGCGGCGGACGGGUGAGUAACACGUGGAUAACCUACCUAUAAGACUGGGAUAACUUCGGGAAACCGGAGCUAAUACCGGAUAAUAUAUUGAACCGCAUGGUUCAAUAGUGAAAGACGGUUUUGCUGUCACUUAUAGAUGGAUCCGCGCCGCAUUAGCUAGUUGGUAAGGUAACGGCUUACCAAGGCAACGAUGCGUAGCCGACCUGAGAGGGUGAUCGGCCACACUGGAACUUAGACACGGUCCAGACUCCUACGGGAGGCAGCAGUAGGGAAUCUUCCGCAAAGGGCGAAAGCCUGACGGAGCAACGCCGCGUGAGUGAUGAAGGUCUUCGGAUCGUAAAACUCUGUUAUUAGGGAAGAACAAAUGUGUAAGUAACUAUGCACGUCUUGACGGUACCUAAUCAGAAAGCCACGGCUAACUACGUG
rnacentral:rRNA from 1 species